AGCAGCCGCCGCGGUAAUACAGAGGGUGCGAGCGUUAAUCGGAUUUACUGGGCGUAAAGCGUGCGUAGGCGGCUUCUUAAGUCGGAUGUGAAAUCCCUGAGCUUAACUUAGGAAUUGCAUUCGAUACUGGGAAGCUAGAGUAUGGGAGAGGAUGGUAGAAUUCCAGGUGUAGCGGUGAAAUGCGUAGAGAUCUGGAGGAAUACCGAUGGCGAAGGCAGCCAUCUGGCCUAAUACUGACGCUGAGGUACGAAAGCAUGGGGAGCAAACAGGAUUAGAUACCCGAGUAGUCCCUGUCUCUUAUAA
rnacentral:rRNA from 1 species